rnacentral:rRNA from 1 species
AUUGAACGCUGGCGGCAGGCCUAACACAUGCAAGUCGAGCGAGACCUUCGGGUCUAGCGGCGGACGGGUUAGUAACGCGUGGGAACGUGCCCUUCUCUGCGGAAUAGCCACUGGAAACGGUGAGUAAUACCGCAUACGCCCUUCGGGGGAAAGAUUUAUCGGAGAAGGAUCGGCCCGCGUUAGAUUAGAUAGUUGGUGGGUAACGGCCUACCAAGUCUACGAUCUAUAGCUGGUUUUAGAGGAUGAUCAGCAACACUGGGACUGAGACACGGCCCAGACUCCUACGGGAGGCAGCAGUGGGGAAUCUUAGACAAUGGGCGCAAGCCUGAUCUAGCCAUGCCGCGUGUGUGAUGAAGGUCUUAGGAUCGUAAAGCACUUUCGCCAGGGAUGAUAAUGACAGUACCUGGUAAGGAAACCCCGGCUAACUCCGUG